rnacentral:rRNA from 1 species
AUUAGUGGCGAACGGGUGAGUAACACGUGAGUAACCUGCCCUUGACUCUGGGAUAAGCGCUGGAAACGGCGUCUAAUACCGGAUACGACCUGCCCCGGCAUCGGGUGCGGGUGGAAAGUUUUUCGGUCAAGGAUGGACUCGCGGCCUAUCAGCUUGUUGGUGAGGUAAUGGCUCACCAAGGCGACGACGGGUAGCCGGCCUGAGAGGGUGACCGGCCACACUGGGACUGAGACACGGCCCAGACUCCUACGGGAGGCAGCAGUGGGGAAUAUUGCACAAUGGGCGAAAGCCUGAUGCAGCAACGCCGCGUGGGGGAUGACGGCCUUCGGGUUGUAAACCUCUUUUAGUAGGGAAGAAGGACUUCGGUUUGACGGUACCUGCAGAAAAAGCACCGGCUAACUACGUGCCAGCAGCCGCGGUAAUACGUAGGGUGCAAGCGUUGUCCGGAAUUAUUGGGCGUAAAGAGCUCGUAGGCGGUUUGUCGCGUCUGCUGUGAAAACCCGAGGCUCAACCUCGGGCCUGCAGUGGGUACGGGCAGACUAGAGUGCGGUAGGGGAGAAUGGAAUUCCUGGUGUAGCGGUGGAAUGCGCAGAUAUCAGGAGGAACACCGAUGGCGAAGGCAGUUCUCUGG